rnacentral:rRNA from 1 species
UACGUAGGGGGCAAGCGUUGUCCGGAUUUAUUGGGCGUAAAGAGCGUGUAGGCGGUCAGGUAGGUCCGUUGUGAAAACUCGAGGCUCAACCUCGAGACGCCGAUGGAAACCAUCUGACUAGAGUCCGGAAGAGGAGAGUGGAAUUCCUGGUGUAGCGGUGAAAUGCGCAGAUAUCAGGAGGAACACCGGUGGCGAAGGCGGAUCUCUGGGCCAUUACUGACGCUGAGGAGCGAAAGCGUGGGGAGCGAACAGG